rnacentral:rRNA from 1 species
GACGAACGCUGGCGGCGUGCCUAAUACAUGCAAGUAGAACGCUGAAGGAGGAGCUUGCUCUUCUGGAUGAGUUGCGAACGGGUGAGUAACGCGUAGGUAACCUGCCUGGUAGCGGGGGAUAACUAUUGGAAACGAUAGCUAAUACCGCAUAACAGUAGAUGUUGCAUGACAUUUACUGAAAAGGUUCAAUUGCAUCACUACCAGAUGGACCUGCGUUGUAUUAGCUAGUUGGUGGGGUAACGGCUCACCAAGGCGACGAUACAUAGCCGACCGGAGAGGGGGAUCGGCCACACUGGGACGGAGACACGGCCCAGACUGCUACGGGAGGGGGCAGUAGGGAAUCGUCGGCAAGGGACGGAAGUCUGAGCGAGCAACGCCGCGUGAGUGAAGAGGGUUUUCGGAUCGGAAAGCUCUGUUGUAAGAGAAGAACGAGUGUGAGAGUGGAAAGUUCACACUGUGACGGUAUCUUAUAAGAAAGGGACGGCUAACUACGUG